AAAGUCGUAACAAGGUUUCCGUAGGUGAACCUGCGGAAGGAUCAUUACAAAUCUCUGUGUGGUGGAGGAGGGGGAGUGUGUGGUUUGGUUUGCUGCUGGAAAGGUCAAACUGACCAGCAUCGCUCAUUCAUCCACGCACUCAUCACCCAUCCCACCCACACAUAUGCACAGGGCCGCAAGGCUCUGAUGUUUACGCUUGUUUGUUUGACAGAUUUACAUGUGACCAAAUUUUGACAACUUUUAACAAUGGAUCUCUUGGCUCUU
rnacentral:misc_RNA from 1 species